rnacentral:rRNA from 1 species
AGGAUCAUUAUUGAAAUAAAUCUGACGAGUUGUUGCUGGUUCUUUAGGGAACAUUGUGCACACUGGUCAUCUUUGUAUCUUCACCUGUGCAUUUUUUGUAGACCUGGGGUAUCUCUCUGAUUGCUGAGCACUCAGGAUUUGAGGAUUGACUUUCYGUCUCUUCUUACAUUUCCAGGUCUAUGUUUCUUCAUAUACCCUAAUGUAUGUUUAUAGAAUGUAAUGAGUGGGCCUUUGUGCCUAUAAAUCUAUACAACUUUCAGCAACGGAUCUCUUGGCUCUCGCAUCGAUGAAGAACGCAGCGAAAUGCGAUAAGUAAUGUGAAUUGCAGAAUUCAGUGAAUCAUCGAAUCUUUGAACGCACCUUGCGCUCCUUGGUAUUCUGAGGAGCAUGCCUGUUUGAGUGUCAUUAAUAUAUCAACCUCUUUGGUUGGAUGUGGGUUUGCUGGCCUCUUGAAGGUCAGCUCCCCUUAAAUGCAUUAGCUGUGACAACAUUUUGCCAAAUGUUCAUUGGUGUGAUAAUUAUCUACGCUAUUGACAUGAAGCAGGUUCAGCUUCCUAACAGUCCUUUGACUUGGACAAAUUUCUAUUUAUUAAUGUGACCUCAAAUCAGGUAGGACUACCCGCUGAACUUAA